GACGAACGCUGGCGGCGUGCUUAACACAUGCAAGUCGAACGGAAAGGCCCUGCUCUUGUGGGGUGCUCGAGUGGCGAACGGGUGAGUAACACGCGAGUAACCUGCCCUUGACUUUGGGAUAACUUCAGGAAACUGGGGCUAAUACCGGAUAGGAGCUCCUGCUGCAUGGUGGGGGUUGGAAAGUUUCGGCGGUUGGGGAUGGAAUCGCGGCUUAUCAGCUUGUUGGUGGGGUAGUGGAUUACCAAGCCUUUGACGGGUAGCCGGCCUGAGAGGGUGACCGGCCACCUUGGGACUACGGUACGGCCCAGUCUCCUACGGGAGGCAGCAGUGGGGAAUCUUGCACAAUGGGCGGACGCCUGAUGCAGCAACGCCGCGUUCGGGAUGACGGCCUUCGGGUUGUAAACCGCUUUCGCCUGUGACGAAGCGUGAGUGACGGUAAUGGGUAAAGAAGCACCGGCUAACUACGUG
rnacentral:rRNA from 1 species